AUUGAACGCUGGCGGCAUGCUUUACACAUGCAAGUCGAACGGUAACAGGCCGCAAGGUGCUGACGAGUGGCGAACGGGUGAGUAAUGCAUCGGAACGUGCCCAGUCGUGGGGGAUAACUACUCGAAGGAGUAGCUAAUACCGCAUACGAUCUAUGGAUGAAAGCGGGGGACCGUAAGGCCUCGCGCGAUUGGAGCGGCCGAUGUCGGAUUAGGUAGUUGGUGGGGUAAAGGCUCACCAAGCCAACGAUCUGUAGCUGGUCUGAGAGGACGACCAGCCACACUGGGACUGAGACACGGCCCAGACUCCUACGGGAGGCAGCAGUGGGGAAUUUUGGACAAUGGGCGCAAGCCUGAUCCAGCAAUGCCGCGUGCAGGAAGAAGGCCUUCGGGUUGUAAACUGCUUUUGUACGGAACGAAACGGCUCUGGUUAAUACCCGGGGCUAAUGACGGUACCGUAAGAAUAAGCACCGGCUAACUACGUG
rnacentral:rRNA from 1 species